GAUCGUGCUUUGAAUAGUGGGUUCUACACUGACUUCCCUCCUUACUCUGGCCCCUUUACAACAGGUAAAUGAAAAGUGGCAGAGGAAUGUAAAGAGUCCCAGUUCCAGAAGGGGAGGAUUAACGCCAUGUAGACAUUUCAGAAGACACUCACAAGGCUGACCUCAGAGGAUCUCUUCACAAACCCUGGUUUACUGGAUGUGCUGAGAGACUGGAAGCUCAAGCUUCAGGUUUCCAACUGUUCAUCUCAGGAAAAAGAGUCUUUUGUCACACACACUGCACAACUGUCUAGGCAAAUGAAAUCAUAUGUUUGAAACUGAAGAUGGAGAACAGAGAAUACCAACUCUUUUCCCAGAGUGUGACACUGAACUGGUUCAUCUGUACCUGCAGGGAUGGGAGAGUCUUUGCUGUUGGGAUGCUAACUUCAAGGUCUUAAAAAAAUGAGGGCAACUUCUCUAGCUGGAGUGCUGAAAGCAAAUUAACAAGAUUAAUGCAAGAGAGGAUUAGGGCACAAAUUGUUAGUCUGCAUGCACUGCAGCAACCCUGCUAGGGAGAAGUCUCUUUGUUAUUUACAAAGGGACUUUCAAAUUAGCGCUUCUCUCUUUACAUUUUAAUAUGCAGCCUUCGUUGAUAAGAGAUUUUGGGUCAAAUCCUCAGUUAGUAUCAACCAGUACAGCUUCACUAUUAGCUGAGGAGCACAUCAGUCCAGGGCACCUUAACUCUGAUGCACAGUUUUGCUGCUUCUUGCUUUGGGGUUUUUUUGCCAAUGGCUGGGGGCCUUGCUAGGCUGUUUUCCACAGGAGGAGGAAUGAGUGCUAUUUUCUUUGUUUAUAUACACAGAAUGUACACAACGUCCUGUUUCCUGAACACAGUAGGAACAAACAGCAGACUUCCUCGCUCACACAUUCAAGUUAGCCUUUCUUGCAAGUCCUGGACCCAGAUCUGAUCCUUGGGUUUCUUCCUGGGUCAUGCUCACCAUUCCUUUUCUUCCUCAGCCUGACAAAGGGUGUUUGUGCCCGAAAGCUUGCUAAGAAGAAUUUUCCCAACUAUU